AAGCUUGCGCCGGCUGCGCGGGCGCCUAUAUCGGAACGUGCCGGCUCCGGCCGGCUAUGGCAAUAAAUGGCAGCGUGUAAGGCGCAGCGGACCCGGGGGCGGUACCCGGCGGCUCCACCAGAAGGAUCGCUUUCAGCGGUGCUCCUGACGGGGCCGAACUAGGAUCGACGUGCGGACGAGCAUUCUGUUUUUGCCCGGGCUGAGUAACCCGUAAAAGGCUCAAAACCACAAGUGCCAACGACAACGAGGCGCUCGCGAUUGCGGCCUAACCCGGUCCUAACGGACUAGGUUAGUUUCGACAAAAGCGCGGUUCGGGCCGCACCGGGCAACAGAAGCGGACACC
rnacentral:tmRNA from 1 species